rnacentral:rRNA from 1 species
AUGGUCGGAGGUCAAAGGCGAGCGGGGGCGGCGGCCGGGAUUCGCGUGUGGUAUUCACCGGCUGUCUGCUGGCUGUGUGCAUGGUGCACAAGUGGUAGUAGCAGCAGCCACGGGCUUUUCUCUGAAUUUGCAUCAAUAACAACAAUAGCAGGGUCAUGGACAAGAUCAUCAAAUCCCUCUGAAUUCUUGCCGGUUCAGGUUCUUUCCAUGCACCGGCUAAUCGAGGUGGUGAAGCACAUGUUAGCCGUGUGGAUGGACCUCGGCAACCCCAGCUUCGUCAAUGUCGCCGGUAACGCGUCCGAGAUGAUGUCGCCGAAGUAG